AAUUCUCAACCUUACCAGCAUUUGUUGGUAUUGGCUUGGAUAUGGGGGUCUUUUGCUGGCUUUGUGAAGAGGUCUGCUCCCCUUAAAUGUAUUAGCCGGUGCCCCGCGUGGAUCCCGUCUAUUGGUGUGAUAAUUAUCUACGCCGUGGAUGGUCUGCUUUAAAUGGGAUGCGCUGCUUCUAACCGUCCGUUCAGUUGGACAAUCAAUGACA
rnacentral:misc_RNA from 1 species